AGAAUCCUGGCUACAAGUAAGGUAUGUUUCCAAUACAAGAAAUAAUGAUAGUUCAACUGACCCCAUGAGCUGCAAAUUGCAAAACUAAUAAAUAAAUAAAUAAGAACCUCGUUCAUUAUCAUCAACACUGCCAACCAUAUGCCUGUCUCUUUCCUUUUUAUUUAUUUAAUUACAGAGAAGAUGCAGCAGCUGACAUACUCAAAGGUUGGCUUUCAUUUGUAUUUGUGGUAGUGAUGAAUGAGAUUCCCCCAAAGCUAUAACAAUGAGAGAUUCUCAUAAUGUGAAGAGUUCAAAAGGAUGGAGCUCACAUGUACAAUACCACACCACACUACCAACUUUAGGUUGAAUGGAACAAAAGAUGAAGAAAACUCCCACGUCAAGCCAAGAUGCAAUAUAUCUGCUCUAAAAAGAGGGGAAGCACAAACACACAUUAUAUCUUAUAUUCUUUAUAUGGAUAUACAAAUUGUACUGUCAUGAUUUAUCAGGACAACAUGCAUAGAGCAAUCAUAGCCGUCCAAUUAUGUAUCUUUUCUUAUUUCCACAAUAUAUAAAGUAGAAGAAGAAUGUAAUAUGCGUUGUGACCCAUUACCUCCUUUCCCCUAACUUUAUGAUUUUUAACUUUGCUUUUUUCUUUGGUGUUCUUUUGUUUUUAAUUUCGGUGGUUAAACGAAAGUGUGGUCGAUACAUGGUUGGCUUGAUGCAUGCAAUAAUAGAGCUAGAAUAAAGGAGAAAG
rnacentral:misc_RNA from 1 species